UCCUGCCGGUCUGCUCCUCGUGUCUCUGCCUGCGUUGUGAUAAAAGGCCGUCGGAGCAACGUCCGGAGAUUUGACCUUUUGACCUUUCUCCCCAGGAGUUCUCCAUCCACAGCUCUCGCUCCUUCCUGAUAGACUCCUCCCCCUCCCUACACACACAUCUGGAUGCUCGGAGAGCAGUUGGAACACGAGCAGGCGACAGAUGACACGCUCGCACCCGGAGUCUAAACAAUACCGGGACAGAGGGCUUAAUCAAGGAAGACAAAGAGACGGCAGUCGGGAGGGAUUGAAAGGAACGGAAAUGCAAAGUGGAACCGUGGAGGGGAUUGACAGGAGAACCGAUUAAUUUCAGGUAGACGGCGGGCGUCUGCAUGUCUGCGAAAUCCCCCCUCGGGGGUCUCGUAUUGUUCUGUGUUUGUGUAUUCUGCCGCCCACGAGAGGCAUCAGACCGUCUCCGAGACCUCUGACAAACCGCUCGCAGGUAUUUCGAGAGAGAUCGCCAAAGCGGAGCGGCGCCGGGAAGAAGAGGAGGGAGAAAAAAGAAAGAGGAAGAGGUAGAGCACACCCACAGCGGAGAGCCCAACGCCCGAUAAGACGGGGAAAACACUCAAGAUGCUGAAAAACACUCCCAGAGAGAGUCGCGGCGGUGAGAGAGCGACCCAACACGUCUGCUGUGUAGGUGGCUGAAUGAUGUCCCAGAAUGCAGUCUGGCUGCCCUCUGACCUCCCUGUGGAGCGUCGCUCGAAGCGGCUCAUACACAGCUCCUUUUUUCCCGGAUCCACUCCCGACACACACACACACACACGCACAUAUUUACAGCAGCAGCAGCUGUGUGUGUGUGUGUGUGUGUGUGUGUGUCUGGUAAAAAAAGUUGCUGUGUCCUUCCGCUGGGCAUUAAUUAUACAUGUGGCAUGUGGGUGUCUGAUUGAAAUGAAUAUUUUACUGCUUUUAAUCACUGCCAUUGCCAGAGUGAUGGAGCAUCUGGCUGUGUUACCUGGGUAAUUAAAGACGCCGUCGCACACACGUGCACACGUGCACACGUGCUCACGUGCUCACGCGCGGCAGUCUCGCCGGCUCGUGUCUGCGCCGUGAGACGGGGUGGACUCCGGAGGCCUACUAAUGAGUACGAUUUAGAUUUUGGAAUGUUUUGAAGCAAACGGGGGACCGGUGGAUAGACAAAGACGUUGCCUGUGUCCCAAAUUUCAUCAGCAAAAAAGCUUUUCUCAGAGGUCAGAGGUCAGAGGUCGACGGGAACCUGACACAAUCUGACAUGUACGUUGUUGUGUUUCCAAUCCCUUGGAACCAUUAGUCCAAUCGUAACAUGUGACCUCUCCUUUGACUGUGUGGUUUCUUUAAUCACCUGAAACCGAGCCCUUCUUCACGGAGUCUACGGUAGCCCAGAAGGGACAAACCAAACACUGGCUCUAGAGAGAGCCUUUCACAUUUUUACUCUAUA